rnacentral:rRNA from 1 species
AACGAACGCUGGCGGCGUGCCUAACACAUGCAAGUCGAACGGGAAAACCCGCAAGGGUGAGUACAGUGGCGCACGGGUGCGUAACACGUGGGUAAUCUGCCCAGAAGCCCGGAAUAACUCCCCGAAAGGGGUGCUAAUGCCGGAUGAGACCACGGGGACUUCGGUUCCUGGGGGAAAAGGUGGCCUCUGUAUACAAGCUAUAACUUCUGGAUGAGCCCGCGGCCCAUCAGCUAGUUGGCGGGGUAAUGGCCCACCAAGGCCACGACGAGUAGCCGGUCUGAGAGGACGAUCAGCCACACUGGAACUGAGACACGGUCCAGACUCCUACGGGAGGCAGCAGUGGGGAAUCUUGCGCAAUGGGCGGAAGCCUGACGCAGCAACGCCGCGUGUGUGAUGAAGGUCUUCGGAUCGUAAAGCACUGUCGGGAGGGACGAAUAAGGGCCGGGUGAACAAUCCGGUUCGACGACGGUACCUCCAGAGGAAGCACCGGCUAACUCUGUGCCAGCAGCCGCCGUAAUAC